AGGUGACAAUGCCUAGAAUCUGGAGGCAUUAGGUUCCAAGACCCUGGAAGCCUAGGAAGAGGGAUGGCUAGUGAGGUUUAGGUCAUGUUGAUUCCUGCCUUUGUUGUAUGGGAUGCGGGAUAUCCCUUCUAUACCUAUGGAUCCAUCUUCAUUAUUGCAUUAAUUAUUUGGCAAGUGAAAAAGAGGCGCCAAAAAUUAAAGUCGGAACCUAAUGAGACCUGUUGCCAGCAUCACGGAGCAGUCAAACAAAAGUCUAAAGAUAGAACAUCAAAAGCUAAGAAAACUUCCCAGGAAGAAGCCGAGAAGCUGAGGAAGUUGCUCUCUGUCAUGAAAAGCCACGGCUGGCUUCCCCAGGUGGAAAGUAUACGGCGGCUCCUGUGUGCAGAUCCUGGCUGCCAAAUCUGCAAUUCUCUAGCUCUGGACAUUCAGCAAUUGCUGGAGUGUGACAACAACCAGAUCUCCCCUUCUUUAUUGGGGUCUCUGCAGAGCUCUGCUUGCCUAGACACAUUGUCCACAUCAGGUGUGUCUUAUGAGCAGGAUUCCCGGGACUCCAGACAGUUUUCACAGGCAUCUGGCCCCAGUCUGUCACAAUUGGGUCAGAAACCUUUAAUUCAUUCAGCUAUUCAGUCAACUGAUACAGCCAGUGUCCACAAUGUCUGCCCUGAUCACCUCCAGCAAAAGCAGAAAUCUCAAGGGCCAAAAAAGCCUCAGGAUGCAGGGGCUCUGUCUUCUUCAAGCCUUGAGGAGCCUAGGAUUCCUGUGAACCAGAAGGAGAGAAGGAAGCACAACUCUGCACUUGUCCCCAAGAACAAAGGAGCUCCAGAAAUUGACUUGGGAAAUACGAUGAAGCUCUAUUCGCACUGGAUUAACCCUGAAGUGAAAGCUCACAGGCACGAGGAACCCAUUUCCCCAUCUAAGGCUGAGAAAGUGACCAGAUACAGGACAAAAGAGGUUAAGAAGGGUCCAACCCACACCAAAGACCACGUGGGAGGAGCUAGGUUGGAGAAGAAAACAGAGAACCCCAUGGCCCUGCCUCCCCCUACUGAGAAGGAGCGCUUGUCUUUCCUUGAUGUCCUCAGUGCCUUCACCAACAGUUCCAGCAAAAUGCCCUUCAGUCCAGCCAACCCUAAGGACUGUGCCACUCAUAAAACUGCUCCAAAUUCUGGUGUCAACUGACUUGGGUCACCCAACCAGGAAAUCUAUCCCAAGUUGCAACUCUCAACUCAGCAGAAGGCACCAGUUUACCCAGGAAAAUAACCAUUCCAACAAAAAGGAGGUUUUUUUUUUCUACAUCCCCCUGAAGAAGAUUGUCAAUCAUCCUUUAUAUUAACAUGCAGAGGACAGAGAGGAAGCCCCCACUUGGCUGCAAACUCUGGAGACUCUGGACACUCGGCGCUGGGCUUGGGGCCAAGGGCUCCCCACAGAGCAUCACAAGAAGGCAUCACAGCAAUUUCGAAGGCACCCAAAGCAGUACCCAGACUUCCUGGCAGUGGUGCCACAUGCAUCCUUCAGUCAUUCCCAGGAGAGGUCUUCAUCAUUCUUUAGUGGCCAGGGGCCACUUUGCCCUGGUCAAAUUCCCUUUCCUCUAGCUUCUGGCCCAGGAUUCACAAAUGUCAGGCAGGCUCUCCACUGGACUCUGCUGUGAAGUUUUGGUGCUUUGAGGAGACUGUCAUCUUGAUUAGGUUUAACUGGCAGCUCUGGCUCCUUUAACAGCUUCUGCCACUCAGUUGCUUCAGCCAAUCAGGGUUCACUUUUUGUGUUUUACAUGCCAUGGGUUUUGACCAAGGUAUGAUAACAUGUAUCUGCCAUUACAGUACCAUGCAGCAUAAUUUCACUGUCCUAAAAGCCUGCUGUGUUCCACCAAUUCAUUUUUCUAUCCCUACAAGUCCCUGGCAAUCAAUCUUUGAUAUGUUUUCCAAGUUGUGGGAAAAGUAUAUAUAACAUGAAGUGUACCAAUUUAGUCAUUUUUAAGUGUAGAAUUCAGUGGCAUUAAGUAUAUUUACAAUGUUGUGA